ensembl:processed_transcript
UAGUCUGGCGCUCUUUGGGGUCUCCGGUUUCCUCCCAGUCGCGCAUCCAGUGGGGGCCUAAAAGCUCAAGAGUGUCACAGCUUCCCCUCCCGGGAUCUAAGGUCCUAACUAAGGGAAUCCCCUCACCUCUCCCCACUGGGGCGCAGUCUGACGUGCUCGCUGCUCAGAGCACGCACACAGCUACCGGUUAAUUUAAUUUCUUCUAUUUUUAAUGAAAUGAGUGUCCUCUGUCAGGGUCCACAUCUGUACUGGUGGAAUUAGGUUGAAGUCUUUCAUGGAACUACCCUCCGGGUUCUGCAGUCACAGGAGCCCCUGGCACUCGCCUUUCCCAGGGACAGAUGCUGAGCUCCACUUCAUCGGAAUGCUAAGUGUCCACAGCAUUGCUUUAAGGCUGCCGUCAGAAGUUGUGGCCCAGGUUAAAGUUGGAUCCUCCUACCUUAAGAAAUCCAGAGAAGGGGCUGGUGAGAUGGCUCAGCAGGCAUGGGGCCAAGUGGCUUAAGAGAGACGACCAUCACACAGAAGCCUAGAGCCAUAAUAAUGAUGGGUUUAGCUACUUCAUCUACCACACUUCCUGUUGACUCCUUUCUUCCUGUGCUCUGGUGCUGGAACUCUACUGGCCCAGUAGAGAGUCAAAGUCUUAGCUUGGAGAUGGCAGAGAUGAUGGACAUGAUGGAGAUGGAGAUGACAGAGAAAACAUACUUCAGCAUUGAUGAGUAUCUGCUGAAGGAAGGCAUGCUGGGGAGACUAAUGAAACCACUCAGAUGAUAUAAAGUCGCCUUGAAGAUGGAUCUCUGCGCAUUCUUAUGAGGAGACGAUCUUGACUGAGUUGACUGAAGUGGCAAGACCUGACCACUGGGGAUGACAUCAUCCCUUGGGAUGAGAACUAGGAUCUACAUAAAGAGGGAAGUGAGCUGCACUCAGAAAUCCAUGGCCCUCUGAACCCUAAGGAUGGAUGCCACAUGACCAGCUACUCUAAGCACUGGCUGCUCCAACUCCCCUGCCUUCGUGGACAAGACCCUUGCACUGUGAGCUGAAAUAACCCCCAUCUCCCUCGACUGCUUUUGUCAACUGCUUUUGUUUUAUCAAAGCAACAGGAAAAGAAAGUAGCAUGGCAUUCAAUUUAUCAGCAGUAAAUGUUACUGGUAAUUGUACUUUCUUUUUUCAUUUCUGGAUAUCAAGUCUAAGUACUCACUCAUUCUAAAUAAGCCAUCUUCUUCCAAGUUACCGUCCCUUGCCUGACAUUUUUAUGAAACAUUUCUAUGGCAUUUUCCCCCAUAGCCCAAUGUUUCUAUUUAAGGUUUUAUUUAAGUAUUUCCUUUAAGGUUCAACUUUCCCUCUACCAUUUUGGUUUUUUUUUUCCUCCAAAAUGGCCCUUUGUUUUCUUUUUUCACAUUCUUUUCUUCCUAUGCCCAGCUGUAUGCAAAUGAUACAAGCAUUCGUGUUUCUAUUUGAAUGUCUUAUCUGAGUUCCAAUGUCAAUAUGUCAAUAUCUGAAGGGCUGCAUUAUAUCCUUUGAACAUUUCAGUGAUAAGUCACAUGUGGUAUGCCCAAAAAAGAUCUCGUGUCACCCCCCCCCCCCCCCCCCUCAUCUAAUCUGCUUGUCUUUGGACUCCUUUCCAGUAAAUUAUAGCAUGAUACUUUCAUUAUUUUACUUUCAAGUGUUGCAUUUGUGUAAUUUCUCUUCUCUAUACGACCUGCAUCUAGCCAUGAUCUCUCUUUGUUACAUCUUCUCUCUUUUCCUCUUGUCUGUUCACCAUUUCAUCCCAAGCAAUUAGUUUUAGUAAAAUAUUGACAAGCCAAUGCUUUCAGACAAUUCUUAGGAAAACAGGAGAAAAAAGUAUUAUAAUCACAACACUUGGCAGACUGAGUCAGGAUGUUUAUCAGGAGUCCAAGGCCAGUGUAGGCUUCAGAGUGAGACUGUGUCCAAAGAUAAAAUAAGGAUCUAGAUAGAUGGCUCAGGGAGUAAGAAUACAGGUUUCUCUUAGAGAGGGUCUGUUAUGUCCCAGCAUGUUCAUGAUAGCUUGUAACCAUUCAUAAUUUCAGUGCUGGGAAGUGAUCCCAGGUUCUUCUGCGAGAUCAGCAAGUGAUCUUAACAACUGAGCAAACUACCCACACCCAUUGUUACCAUUUAUUUAUUUACCAAAUGAAGAAUUUAUAUCCUUUAGGUAUCUGUAUAAAAAAAUUCAAGAAUCUUAAUUGUAACUCCUAUGUCAUUACAGAGGUUUUCCUUUUUAUCCUCUUUUAAAGGAUACACUUAUUUUUAAUGUAUUGUACGUAUGAGUGCCUGCAUGUAUGUAUAUACACCAUAUGUCGGUCAGAUACCUGAGGAAGCCAGAAGAGCAUACCAGGUCCCCUGGAGCUGGAAUCACAAACAAUCCUGUUAGCAUGUAGGUGCUGAGAACCAAACCCAGGUUCUCUCAAAAGCAAUAAGCACUCUUACUGAAUGAAGAAUCUGUUUAGCCCCUGUUUGUCUUCUUAAGGGUCCCAUGGCAGUUGCCCUGUAUGCUUAUUUGUGACUACAUAUGCAAGGAACAUCACUACAACUAGAAUGCAUGCUUCAUCAAAAAGACCCUCCUGUAGAAUCUUGUGUUUGAAAGCUACAUCUGCUGUAAGACCAUUAGAGAAGAGAAGACUCACUUCAGUUCAAUGGUUUGUAUUCAGAAGUCCAGGAUUGAGAACUAAGUAAACAAUGGUGGCCCUUAAAGAGAUAGAGUGUUUUUCACAGUGCUGUAUAUUCCACCAUAGUCAUCUUGUAUUGCAUUAAUCAGAAUCAAGAAUUUAUGACUGAGAAGCACAUCAUUGCCAUAAUUGCAUUAACUGUAAAGACAAUUUUAGUGACAUGACACUGUCACAGACAAAGCAAACCCACAGAUAUAGUAUAGCAGAUUAUGAAGACUUAGAUUGGAGUCUGACUCUCUGGUAGUCUUUAGCUUAGGG